UGAGUCGGCCAGGCGGUCGCGUCGCGGCCCUUCGGGGCGGCGCCGAGGAACGUCCGGGCUCCGAAGGGCAGGGUGGUGGCUAACAGCCACCCGGGGCGACCCGCGGGACAGUGCCACAGAGAACAGACCGCCCACGAACCACCCUCUUCGGUGGGUAGGCGUGAGUGAGGGUGAAACGGUGGUGUAAGAGACCACCAGCGCCUCCGGUGACGGGGGCGGCUCGGUAAACCCCACCCGGAGCAAGACCAGACAGUGUGCGAUCGAGGGCGGCCCGCCCGAGCACACGGGUAGGUCGCUCGAGCCGUGCGGCAACGCACGGCCUAGAUGGAUGACCGCUCAACGACAGAACCCGGCGUAUCGGUCGACUCAUCCA
rnacentral:RNase_P_RNA from 1 species